UACGGAGGGUGCGAGCGUUGUCCGGAUUUAUUGGGUUUAAAGGGAGCGUAGGUGGCCUUAUAAGUCAGUGGUGAAAUCUCCUCGCUUAACGAGGAAAUUGCCAUUGAUACUGUAGGGCUUGAGUACAGUUGCUGUGGGCGGAAUAUGACAUGUAGUGGUGAAAUACAUAGAGAUGUCAUAGAACACCGAUUGCGAAGGCAGCUCACAAAGCUGUAACUGACACUGGAGGCUCGAAAGUGCGGGGGAUCAAACAGG
rnacentral:rRNA from 1 species